CAUAAGAACAUAUUAUUUACAGCAGUCCCUUAUUGAACUUUUUCUCCGCAUACCAAUGCUAAUCGUCUACUUGUGACCUACAUAUCGUCCUUCAAAUUGUAUUCUCAAAAGUACUAUAUCUUUAGGGUCUUAAGUGUUAAAGAUUCUACUGGUCCUAUUAUACUGUUCUCGUCCACGUUUCGUAGCCGCAUGAAAAUGUGGCUACUAUUGUCUAAUUUUCGACAAAAAAUAACGAUA